GACGAACGCUGGCGGCGUGCUUAACACAUGCAAGUCGAACGGAAAGGCCCUGCUUUUGUGGGGUGCUCGAGUGGCGAACGGGUGAGUAACACGUGAGUAACCUGCCCUUGACUUUGGGAUAACUUCAGGAAACUGGGGCUAAUACCGGAUAGGAGCUCCUGCUGCAUGGUGGGGGUUGGAAAGUUUCGGCGGUUGGGGAUGGACUCGCGGCUUAUCAGCUUGUUGGUGGGGUAGUGGCUUACCAAGGCUUUGACGGGUAGCCGGCCUGAGAGGGUGACCGGCCACAUUGGGACUGAGAUACGGCCCAGACUCCUACGGGAGGCAGCAGUGGGGAAUAUUGCACAAUGGGCGGAAGCCUGAUGCGGCAACGCCGCGUGUGGGAUGACGGCCUUCGGGUUGUAAACCGCUUUCGCCUGUGACGAAGCGUGAGUGACGGUAAUGGGUAAAGAAGCACCGGCUAACUACGUG
rnacentral:rRNA from 1 species